GACGAACGCUGGCGGCGUGGAUUAGGCAUGCAAGUCGAACGGUAGGAUACCUUCGGGUAUCUGAGAGUGGCGAACGGGUGAGUAACACGUAGGUGAUCUACCCUCAAGAUUGGGACAACCCAGGGAAACUUGGGCUAAUACCGGAUGAAAGCAGCAGUGAUGUUGUUUGAAAGGUGGCGUAAGCUGCCGUUUGGGGAUGAGCCUGCGCUCUAUUAGUUAGUUGGCGGGGUAAAGGCCCACCAAGGCGAUGAUAGAUAGGCGGCCUUAACGGGUGGUCGCCCACACUGGGAUUGAGAUACGGCCCAGACUCCUACGGGAGGCAGCAGUCGAGAAUAGUCUACAAUGGCCGAAAGGCUGAUAGUGCGACGCCGCGUGAACGAAGAAGCCCUUCGGGUGUAAAGUCUUUUAUAUGUGAGCAGUGCUUUCUAUGUGAACAGCAUGGGGAGAGAGAUAUUAGCAUAUGAAUAAGCAACGGCUAACUCCGUGCCAGC
rnacentral:rRNA from 1 species